AAUCCUUUAACAAGGACCUAUUGGAGGGCAAGUCUGGUGCCAGCAGCCGCGGUAACUCCAGCUCCAAUAGCGUAUAUUAAAGUUGUUGCGGUUAAAACGUUCGUAGUUGAACUUGUGCUUCAUACGGGUAGUAUAACUAUAAUUGUAGUCUGUACUAUACCUUAUGUAUGUAAGCGUAUUACCGGUGGAGUUUUUAUAUACAUUAAAUACUUGUAUUUAUAUGUAUUCCUCCUAUUUAAACCUGCUUCAGUGCUCUUCAUUGCGUGCUGUUGUAGGCCGGUACAAUUACUUUGAACAAAUUAGAGUGCUUAAAGCAGGCUCCAAAUGCCUGAAUAUUUUGUGCAUGGAAUAAUGAAAUAAGACCUCUGUUCUACUUUCAUUGGUUUUUAGAUCAAGAGGUAAUGAUUAAUAGAAGCAGUUUGGGGGCAUUAGUAUUACGACGCGAGAGGUGAAAUUCUUGGACCGCCGUAAGACUAACUUAAUCGAAAGCAUUGCCAAAGAUGUUUUCAUUAAUCAAGAACGAAAGUUAGAGGUUCGAAGGCGAUCAGAUACCGCCCUAGUUCUAACCAUAAACGAUGCCAGCUUAGCAAUUGGGUGUAGCUACUAUUAUGGCUCUCUCAGUCGCUUCCCGGGAAACCAAAGCUUUUGGGCUCCGGGGGAAGUAUGGUUGCAAAGCUGAAACUUAAAGGAAUUGACGGAAGGGCACCACCAGGAGUGGAGCCUGCGGCUUAAUUUGACCCAACACGGGAAAACUUACCAGGUCCGAACAUAAGCGUGUAAGACAGAUUGAUAGCUCUUUCUCGAAUCUAUGGGUGGUGGUGCAUGGCCGUUCUUAGUUCGUGGAGUGAUUUGUCUAGUUAAUUCCGAUAACGAACGAGACUCAAAUAUAUUAAAUAGAUGCUUUCAGGAUUAUGGUGUUUGAAGCUUUUAUAGCCUUCAUUCAUGAAUGCAGUAACAUGUGUGAGUGUUUGAAUGUGUUUAUAAAGGUGGAGCCGUACCUGUUGGUUUGUCCCAUUAUAAGGACACUAGCUUCUUAAAUGGACAAAUUGCGUCUAGCAAUAAUGAGAUUGAGCAAUAACAGGUCUGUGAUGCCCUUAGAUGUCCUGGGCUGCACGCGUGCUACAAUGAAAGUAUCAACGUGUAUUUCCUAGACCGAGAGGUCCGGGUAAACCGCUGAACCACUUUCAUGCUUGGGAUUGUGAACUGAAACUGUUCACAUGAACUUGGAAUUCCCAGUAAGUGUGAGUCAUUAACUCGCAUUGAUUACGUCCCUGCCCUUUGUACACACCGCCCGUCGCUACUACCGAUUGAAUUAUUUAGUGAGGUCUCCGGACGUGAUCACUGUAACGCCUUGCGUGUUACGGAUGUUUCGCAAAAGUUGACCGAACUUGAUUAUUUAGAGGAAGUAAAAGUC
rnacentral:rRNA from 1 species